rnacentral:rRNA from 1 species
AUUGAUUUUAUGCUUGCAUAAAUGAUUUUUUGGAUUCGGAGCGAGUGGCGAACUGGUGGGUAACACGUGGGUAACCUGCCCCGAAGCGGGGGAUAACAUUUGGAAACAAGUGCUAAUACCGCAUAAUUAGUUGGAACCGCAUGGUUCCAACUUGAAAGAUGGCUCUGCUAUCACUUUGGGAUGGACCCGCGCCGUAUUAGUUAGUUGGUGAGAUAAAAGCCCACCAAGACGAUGAUACGUAGCCGACCUGAGAGGGUAAUCGGCCACAUUGGGACUGAGACACGGCCCAGACUCCUACGGGAGGCAGCAGUAGGGAAUCUUCCACAAUGGACGAAAGUCUGAUGGAGCAACGCCGCGUGAGUGAUGAAGGUUUUCGGAUCGUAAAACUCUGUUGUUAAAGAAGAACAAGUGUUAGAGUAACUGUUAACACUUUGACGGUAUUUAACCAGAAAGCCACGGCUAACUACGUGCCAGCAGCCGCGGUAAUACGUAGGUGGCAAGCGUUGUCCGGAUUUAUUGGGCGUAAAGCGAGCGCAGGCGGUUUUGUAAGUCUGCUGUGAAAGCCCUCAGCUCAACUGAGGAAGUGCAGUGGAAACUACAAAACUUGAGUACAGAAGAGGAAAGUGGAACUCCAUGUGUAGCGGUGAAAUGCGUAGAUAUAUGGAAGAACACCAGUGGCGAAGGCGGCUUUCUGGUCUGUUACUGACGCUGAGGCUCGAAAGCAUGGGUAGCGAACAGGAUUAGAUACCCUGGUAGUCCAUGCCGUAAACGAUGAAUACUAGGUGUUGGAGGGUUUCCGCCCUUCAGUGCCGCAGCUAACGCAUUAAGUAUUCCGCCUGGGGAGUACGACCGCAAGGUUGAAACUCAAAGGAAUUGACGGGGGCCCGCACAAGUGGUGGAGCAUGUGGUUUAAUUCGAUGCUACGCGAAGAACCUUACCAGCUCUUGACAUCUUCUGCCAACCCAAGAGAUUGGGCGUUCCCUUCGGGGACAGAACGACAGGUGGUGCAUGGUUGUCGUCAGCUCGUGUCGUGAGAUGUUGGGUUAAGUCCCGCAACGGGCGCAACCCUUAUUAUUAGUUGCCAGCAUUUAGUUGGGCACUCUAGUGAGACUGCCGGUGAUAAG